GUAGGGAGCAAGCGUNAUCCGGAUNNAUUGGGCGUAAAGGGUGCGUAGGCGGCUNGUUAAGUAUGAAAUCAAAGCCCGGGGCNUAACUCCGGUNCGUNUCAUGAACUGGCUAGCUUGAGUAUGGAAGAGGUAAACGGAAUNUCUAGUGUAGCGGUGGAAUGCGUAGAUAUUAGAAGGAACACCAGUGGCGAAGGCGGUUUACUGGGCCAUUACUGACGCUGAGGCACGAAAGCGUGGGGAGCAAAUAGGAUUAGAUACCCUAGUAGUCCACGCCGUAAACGAUGAGUACUAAGUGUUGGGGUUUCCCAGUGCUGAAGUUAACAUAUUAAGUACUCCGCCUGAGUAGU
rnacentral:rRNA from 1 species